GAUGUCCAAGACAUAACAAGAAAUAGCGAGAAGAGCAAACAAUCAGAGUCAUGCAUCCAUACUGAUAAUAAUGUCCAAGACAUACCAAGUGACAGCGAGAUAACAUCAUCGGAACAACGCGUCGACAGCACAACACAUGCCACUUCACACAAGGAUAGGGCAGAAACUGAGUCACUGACCCGAAAACUAAUCAUGCUGAUAGAAGAGCAAGGAAAGGAGAUGAAGGAGAUAAAGCAGAAUCAACAGUCCAUGCAUAACCAAAUUCAAUCACUCACCAACAUAAUAGCUGCAUUCAAAGAGGAAAAGACAAUACCAACUUCCAAGAACUCUAAGCCAAAUAAACCAAACCCACCAACUCCAACGCCCGUCAUUGCCAAGUCACUUUCAGGAUCAACACGAAGAUUGCGUAAAUCAACAAUUAAAUCAAAUUCUGAUUUCGUCUAUAAUUUAGGGGCUACAAAGAAGAAACCAAAGAAUGCGCAAGCAAAGAAUUUAAUAUCCAAUGAUUUAACUUCGAUGGCAGAGUUCAAGUGCACCGCAGAAGCUGAGGAAACCAUUAAAAGUAUAAUGAGUGCACCAGAAUCAUAA
rnacentral:lncRNA from 1 species